rnacentral:rRNA from 1 species
UACGUAGGGUCCGAGCGUUGUCCGGAAUUACUGGGCGUAAAGAGCUCGUAGGCGGUCUGUUGCGUCGGCUGUGAAAACCCGGGGCUCAACCCCGGGCCUGCAGCCGAUACGGGCAGACUAGAGUUCGGCAGGGGAGACUGGAAUUCCUGGUGUAGCGGUGAAAUGCGCAGAUAUCAGGAGGAACACCGGUGGCGAAGGCGGGUCUCUGGGCCGAUACUGACGCUGAGAAGCGAAAGCAUGGGGGAGCGAACAGG